AUUGAACGCUGGCGGCAGGCCUAACACAUGCAAGUCGAACGAGUGGCGGACGGGUGAGUAAUGUCUGGGAAACUGCCUGAUGGAGGGGGAUAACUACUGGAAACGGUAGCUAAUACCGCAUACCAUCGGAUGUGCCCAGAUGGGAUUAGCUAGUAGUUGGGGUAACGGCUCACCUAGGCGACGAUCCCGAGCUGGUCUGAGAGGAUGACCAGCCACACUGGAACUGCGAAACGGUCCAGAGUCCUACGGGAGGCAGCAGUGGGGAAUAGUGCACAAGGGGCGCAAGCCUGAUGCAGCCAUGCCGCGUGUAUGAAGAAGGCCUUCGGGUUGUAAAGUACUUUAAGCGGGGAGGCGGGAAAGGAAGAAGAAGCACCGGCUAACUCCGUGCCAGCAGCCGCGGUAAUUG
rnacentral:rRNA from 1 species